rnacentral:rRNA from 1 species
UCCUACGGGAGGCAGCAGUAAGGAAUAUUGGUCAAUGGAGGAAACUCUGAACCAGCCAUCCCGCGUGAAGGAUGAAGGGGCUCUGCCUUGUAAACUUCUUUUGAAUGGGACGAAAAAAGGGGAUUUAUCCUCGACUGACGGUACCAUUAGAAUAAGCACCGGCUAACUCCGUGCCAGCAGCCGCGGUAAUACGGAGGGUGCAAGCGUUAUCCGGAAUCACUGGGUUUAAAGGGUGCGUAGGCGGCUAAAUAAGUCAGUGGUGAAAGGCCGUGGCUUAACCAUGGGAUUGCCAUUGAUACUGUAUAGCUUGAAUGAGGAUGAGGUUGGCGGAAUGUGGCAUGUAGCGGUGAAAUGCUUAGAUAUGCCAUGGAACAUCGAUUGCGAAGGCAGCUGACUGGACCUGAAUUGACGCUGAGGCACGAAAGCGUGGGUAGCGAACAGGAUUAGAUACCCUGGUAGUCCACGCCCUAAACGAUGCUUACUCGUUGUUUGAUCGCAAGAUUGAGUGACUAAGGGAAACCGAUAAGUAAGCCACCUGGGGAGUACGACCGCAAGGUUGAAACUCAAAGGAAUUGACGG